AAUCCAGACUCCUACGGGAGGCAGCAGUAGGGAAUUUUCGUCAAUGGGCGCAAGCCUGAACGAGCAAUGCCGCGUGAGUGAGGAAGGUCUUCGGAUCGUAAAGCUCUGUUGCAGGUCAGAAAAGAAGGGAAGAGGAAAUGCUUUUCUUUUAAUAGUAACCUGCCAGAAAGUCACGGCUAACUACGUGCCAGCAGCCGCGGUCAUACGUAGGAUCCGAGCAUUAUCCGGAGUGACUGGGUGUAAAGAGUUGCGUAGGUGGCAUAAUAAGUAGCUAGUGAAAUCUGGUGGCUCAACCAUUCAGACUAUUAGCUAAACUGUUAAGCUCGAGACCGUUAGGGGUAACUGGAAUUUCUAGUGUAGGAGUGAAAUCCGUAGAUAUUAGAAAGAACACCAAUAGCGUAGGCAGGUUACUGGGACGGUUCUGACACUAAGGCACGAAAGCGUAGGGAGCAAACGGGAUUAGAUACCCUCGUA
rnacentral:rRNA from 1 species